AGUGAACGCUGGCGGUAGGCCUAACACAUGCAAGUCGAACGGCAGCACAAUAAGAGCUUGCUCUUACGGGUGGCGAGUGGCGGACGGGUGAGGAAUACAUCGGAAUCUACUUUUUCGUGGGGGAUAACGUAGGGAAACUUACGCUAAUACCGCAUACGACCUACGGGUGAAAGCAGGGGAUCUUCGUACCUUGCGCGAUUGAAUGAGCCGAUGUCGGAUUAGCUAGUUGGCGGGGUAAAGGCCCACCAAGGCGACGAUCCGUAGCUGGUCUGAGAGGAUGAUCAGCCACACUGGAACUGAGACACGGUCCAGACUCCUACGGGAGGCAGCAGUGGGGAAUAUUGGACAAUGGGCGCAAGCCUGAUCCAGCCAUACCGCGUGGGUGAAGAAGGCCUUCGGGUUGUAAAGCCCUUUUGUUGGGAAAGAAAAGCAGCAGGUUAAUACCCCGCUGUUCUGACGGUACCCAAAGAAUAAGCACCGGCUAACUUCGUG
rnacentral:rRNA from 1 species